UACGUAGGGGGCAAGCGUUAUCCGGAUUUACUGGGUGUAAAGGGAACGUAGACGGCGAUGCAAGUCUGAAGUGAAAGGCGGGGGCCCAACCCCCGGACUGCUUUGGAAACUGUAUGGCUGGAGUGCAGGAGAGGUAAGUGGAAUUCCUAGUGUAGCGGUGAAAUGCGUAGAUAUUAGGAGGAACACCAGUGGCGAAGGCGGCUUACUGGACUGUAACUGACGUUGAGGCUCGAAAGCGUGGGGAGCAAACAGG
rnacentral:rRNA from 1 species